GUUGAGAUCAAUGACUUCUGUUACUAAAUUGCAAGUUGAGAAUAAUGUGUUCCCAUCAAUAAUGGUGAAGCCUCCUAAUUCCAACAAUACCUUUUUCCUUGGUGGAGCAGGACAUAGAGGUUUGGUGAUUGAAGGAAAAUUUGUGAAGUUCAGUGUGAUUGGGGUGUACUUGGAAGAGAAUGCUGUUUCAUUUCUCCCGGCUAAAUGGAAAGGGAAAAGCUCCGAGGAGUUGACACAUUCACUCGAAUUCUUCAGAGAUAUCGUUACAGGUCCCUUCGAGAAAUUCAUUCGAGUGACUUUGAUCUUGCCCUUGACCGGUAAGCAAUUCUCUGAGAAGGUAGCAGGAAAUUGUGUUGCCAUUUUGAAAGCAAUAGGAACCUACAGCGAUGUCGAGAGUCAGGCCAUUGCAAAGUUCCUCAAUGUUUUCCAGAGUGAAACCUUCUCACCUGGUGCCUCCAUCCUUUUUACUCAAUCGCCACUUGGUUCAUUGACGAUUAGCUUCUCCGAAGAUGAUUCAGUUCCUGGUACGGGGAAUGCUGUUAUAGAGAACAAACCAUUGUCAGAAGCAGUACUGGAAUCCAUAAUUGGCAAACACGGAGUUUCCCCUGCAGCAAAGUGUAGUCUUGCCAAAAGAGUAUCGGAAAUGUUAGAAAAGAGCAAUGUCGAGGUGUCUGUUUGAAGAGAAAAUCUACCAUUUCAGAAAUUGGAGUCUACUUAGUACGCGAUCUGAUGUUGUCAAGGCUUCUGAGAGUGAUUUAUCGAAAUCUUUUGAGUUAUAAUUAUGGUUGAACCUGAGGCAUAUACUUACAAUGAAGUGCUCAAGAAAAGUGAAUCAUAGCUAUACUAACUUACCAUAGCUAAUUAUAAACUAACUAUAGUUUAGUGAUACGAGUAUUUCUAGAGAAGCCUUUUGGAUUAAUUUGACUUUCCCACCGAGCUACUCUAGGUUUAGGGGUCUAAAAUAUAUAUAGAUAUAUAUUUGUUUAAAUAAGGCCCUAACGUUUUGAAUGUGAAUUCGAUUAACCACCUAUUCAUGUUCUUCUAUUUGCAAGUACGCACGAAAUUCUCUUCUGUACAGUAUGCCAAAUCAUGAAUUGGUAACGACUUUUAAUUUCCAAAAAAGAAAUUCAAUUGUGUUGAACUUUUCAUUUUUGGAAUAAUUACGCAAUCUCCAUGAAUAUGAUCAAA